CGGACAGAUGGGAGCUUGCUCCCUGAUGUUAGCGGCGGACGGGUGAGUAACACGUGGGUAACCUGCCUGUAAGACUGGGAUAACUCCGGGAAACCGGGGCUAAUACCGGAUGGUUGUUUGAACCGCAUGGUUCAAACAUAAAAGGUGGCUUCGGCUACCACUUACAGAUGGACCCGCGGCGCAUUAGCUAGUUGGUGAGGUAACGGCUCACCAAGGCAACGAUGCGUAGCCGACCUGAGAGGGUGAUCGGCCACACUGGGACUGAGACACGGCCCAGACUCCUACGGGAGGCAGCAGUAGGGAAUCUUCCGCAAUGGACGAAAGUCUGACGGAGCAACGCCGCGUGAGUGAUGAAGGUUUUCGGAUCGUAAAGCUCUGUUGUUAGGGAAGAACAAGUACCGUUCGAAUAGGGCGGUACCUUGACGGUACCUAACCAGAAAGCCACGGCUAACUACGUGCCAGCAGCCGCGGUAAUACGUAGGUGGCAAGCGUUGUCCGGAAUUAUUGGGCGUAAAGGGCUCGCAGGCGGUUUCUUAAGUCUGAUGUGAAAGCCCCCGGCUCAACCGGGGAGGGUCAUUGGAAACUGGGGAACUUGAGUGCAGAAGAGGAGAGUGGAAUUCCACGUGUAGCGGUGAAAUGCGUAGAGAUGUGGAGGAACACCAGUGGCGAAGGCGACUCUCUGGUCUGUAACUGACGCUGA
rnacentral:rRNA from 1 species